rnacentral:rRNA from 1 species
GACGAACGCUGGCGGCGUGCUUAACACAUGCAAGUCGAACGGAAAGGCCCUGCUUUUGUGGGGUGCUCGAGUGGCGAAAGGGUGAGUAACACGUGAGUAACCUGCCCUUGACUUUGGUAUAACUUCAGGAAACUGGGGCUAAUACCGGAUAGGAGCUCCUGCUGAAUGGUGGGGGUUGGAUAGUUUCGGCGGGUGGGGAUGGACUCGCGGCUUAUCACUUUGUUGGUGGGGUAGUGGCUGACGAAGGCUUUGACGGGUAGCCGGCCUGGGAGGGGGACCGGCGACAUGAGGACUGAGAGACGGACCAGACGCGUACGGGAGGCAGCAGUGGGGAAUAUUGCACAAUGGGCGGGAGCCUGAUGAAGCAACGCCGGGUGCGGGAUGACGGCCUUCGGGUUGUGAACCGCUUUCGCCUGUGACGAAGAGGGAGUGACGGUAAUGGAUAAAGAAGCACCGGCUAACUACGUG